ACUCCUACGGGAGGCAGCAGUGGGGAAUAUUGCACAAUGGGCGAAAGCCUGAUGCAGCAACGCCGCGUGAAGGAAGAAGGGUUUCGGCUCGUAAACUUCUAUCAACAGGGACGAAAAAAAUGACGGUACCUGAAUAAGAAGCCCCGGCUAACUACGUGCCAGCAGCCGCGGUAAU
rnacentral:rRNA from 1 species